rnacentral:rRNA from 1 species
AUACAGAGGGUGCGAGCGUUAAUCGGAAUUACUGGGCGUAAAGCGCGCGUAGGCGGCUUAUUAAGUCAGAUGUGAAAUCCCCGGGCUCAACCUGGGAACUGCAUCUGAUACUGGUAAGCUAGAGUUUUGGAGAGGGAAGUAGGAUUUCAGGUGUAGCGGUGAAAUGCAUAGAGAUCUGAAGGAAUACCAGUGGCGAAGGCGACUUCCUGGCCAAAAACUGACGCUGAGGUGCGAAAGCGUGGGUAGCAAACGGGAGUAGAAACCCUAGUAGUCC